rnacentral:lncRNA from 1 species
UUUCCUCGCACAAGUGACUAAGGCCUCGUUUGGUACACGAGGGUUGGAGGGGAUUUCUGAGGAAAAUCCACGAGGGGUGCAGAAACCUCUAAAAUCCCCGACGACUUGCUUCGUAAGCGAGGUUUGACGGCCCAAACCCACUCGAAACCCCGUCAAUCCCUCUCUAUCCACGCGGCUACCGAGCCCCGAGGGCACCCGCGCGGAACGGAUCGAAGGAGACACAGAGACAGGCAAGAGGAGAGGAGGAGCCCGCCGCCUCCUCGACGCGUGCCGCCGGAUCUUCAAUGCCCAGCCACUGUCGGAGCUUCAGCGCCGGCCUCUUACUCCGGCACCCUAUCUAUCCCAGGUGAUUCCUCCCCUCUCCUCCACUCCUCCAUCCCCUCCCCUACAAACCCUAGGGUCACGGACGUCUGCCUUCUUCCUUCAUGGCGUGUUGUUCUUGUCCAGCCCCAUCUUAGUAUUAAGUGAUUUGAUAUUGAUUGACACGCCGUUGGCCGAAUUUUAUUAGAAGCCAGUACUAGAUUCUGCAGUUCGUCGGCCUGGAGCAGACAACUUCAGAUAUCACUGUAUUUUCCUGAGCAGAACCAAUGUACUUGAUGCUUUAAUCAUGAUAGAACCCACCAUGAUAGAACUUAUGUACCUAAGCAGAUUUAUUAGAAUCCACCAUACAAUUUAUUUCUACAGAUUUAUUAGAACCCACCAUGGUUGAACUGACGUACCUGAGCAGAUAGUGAGAGAUCUUGUCAUCUCUUCUCCUGGUAUGAAGAACUUAAUUGUGGAGUUGAUUGAAGGUACACAAUUUCACAUUUGUACCUGUGGAGGUGCGCUUAGUAACGAUAGUUCUUGGCUUCAUUUACCAGAACAUUGUCAGGUCCUUGCAUGAUCCUUAUUUGACCACAUUGCUGGUUAGUCCUUUUAACAGAACAUGGAAACCAAAAUAUGUGCUCUGUAUCCAUGCUUAUCAUGUGUGUGCUCUCGAAAUCAAGCUUCAUGCUACAACGACCAAUAAAACUUAAACCAACAGUCAUCUGAAGUUUUGAAGAUGCCUCACCAUGUAGUAUAGGUAGCUAACUGAAGAUAAAUUAAUGAUUUAUGUGGCAUUGGCGUUAUAGAGUCCAAAGGUUUUUCAUUUCAGUUAAAAAUUAAGAGGACGAUCAACCAAGUUCACAUGCUUCACUAACCUGAAUAAACAGAUAAUUUUGCAAGUACUCCUUAGUAUAAAUAGUAGAGGCAGGGUUUUCUCAAAAGUAUAUAAAAAUAAAAGGAAGCACUAACACGCUUCUUAGGUUUGACUUAAGAAAAACUAACACACUUUUUAUUUUAAGGCCGGGAGAGUAGUAUAGAAAGGAACCACUGGAACUCUAGAUGUGAGCAUGGAGGGAGAGUGGACAAGAAUGCAUCGCUUCCCAAGUGCCUGCAAGUUUUGUGAAUUAUUGUGAGUCCAAAUUACCCCAUCAGAUCCAUUACUACUACUAUUACUACUAUAGUGUGCUUUGCAGUUUUGAGCAAUUUACUGAAUAUACUAGCGCAUUUGCAGAAUACGGCUACAAGUCUGCAACACUGGCACAAUGACAAAGUCCAAAUGCCAAUUGUGUUGGUUCCAGCAUUGUCAAUCGAUCUGCACAUAGCACCGAACAGUGUGGAAGACACGCAUUACAUUUCAAAAUAGUAUGUCCCUGUACUGUGAUCUGAAGUAAAACCCUGAAAUAAUUGUUUUCAAGUUUGUAUCCAUGUAUUUUAUAUCCUUUUCGUCUGGAUUUCACUGUUGAUCCAUACUGACUACAAAUGUCUUCUUCUACCUAGCAUUGUUUGACUGUCAAAUUCCAUAAGAAUAUUAAGUUUAAAUUCCAUAUCUGUUUGACAUGAUUAAUUAAUCUGGUUGUUUCAUGUCUAAGCAUAUUUGCUUGCAGGAUUUCUGCACUUAUUUUUUCCACCUACGUACUAGUAUAUCUUGUUGUUCAUAGAUAGAUUAAUGUAUGGAGAGAUUAAUUGUCUGAACUAUUAUAGAUGUCCUUAUCAUGUUGCCUAGUGGAGCCACACGUGUUCAGGUCCUCGCUAUCCUCGCCAAUGUUUCGUAUAUGAAGGGGAUAAUCCUGGUAAUUUUUGGGUGUGGGAAUGCUCUUGCUAUGAAUGAUGACUUCUAGUCUUUGCAUUUGUGUGUAUUUGUAUGUUGUAAUUCGCUGAGCGAACUGUUGUGAGUACAGAGUAAUAGAACAUAGGUUGGCUUAUUUGGCUUUCUUGAACGUCAUCUGUCUAACCUGUUGGCCUAUUUAAAAAGCUCAUCUCCUUUUGUUUUAGCAGGUUCUUUGGCAACUAGAGAAGCAAGCUGGACAAACUUUUGGCCAUUCAAAAACUCGAUGAUCAUGACAUCGUAAGAGCAAUUAAUCUGUAUGACAACAUCAUUCUCAUCCUUGCUUGGUCUGUAAAAAUAUAAUUGAUUGUGAGCUAUUGCACAAGCACCCUGUAUAGCAUUAUGUUUGGUGUUGUGAAAGAUCAUAUUGCUAUGAAGAUAUUAUUGGUUUCAAGUCAUGCUACUAUGAGAGAUUAUGUUGUUGUGAUGUGACUGAUAUUGAUGUGAUUAGAUAUUGAUUCCAAGUCAACCAAAAUUAUGUUCUUGAUGUGAAGAACUGCUGUCACAUUUUUAUUAGGUGUCAUUCACAAUUUUAUAGCAAGUUUGUCUAGCUAUGAUGCUAUUUAACCUGUAAAGAUUGUAUUUUUAAUAGGUUUACACCAUUUUAACUCAAUAGGGAAAUCCCUGCCUACCAAACAGUGUUUUAUAUGGAGGGGUUGUGGCUGGAGAGGGAUUUGAGGUUUGAAGGGGAUCUGAGGGGAUUGGGUGGAAGAGGAGGAUUCACCAAAUCCCCUGAAAUCCCCUUCUCCCCAAACCUCUCAAAUCCACUCCUAUCAAACAAAGCCUAAGUGAGACUGUUCUUGGCCGAUCCGCUUUCUCCUCUUCUCUUAUUUUUUUAUUCUCAGUUAAAAUUUGCUGAUGUUGGAUAGCUCCCAUCAGGUUGCUCUUUUGAUUCACUGCAUUCAAGAUGCUCGUCCUAACCUGAAGCAACACCUGCACCUGAUGCUUUGACAGGGUGACCAUCAACGGUGAUUGAGGGUUAGCAGGGCCGAAGGAUUUACUGCACCAGGGAGUAGGCGAGAUCAUCGAUUUGGACGCUUCCGUCGAAGUUGUCGUCCGUGCAGUUGAUUUGGUCGUGGACGUGGAUUUUGUUAGAUGUGUAUAGUUCAUUGUGUACAUUCCCAUUGUAUAAGGGGCUUGUCUGCACUUUAUCACACCUGUAUAUGUACUUGCCUUUGGCCCUCAGUAAAGAGUUAGUUGCU